CCUACGGGAGGCAGCAGUGAGGAAUAUUGGUCAAUGGCCGGAAGGCUGAACCAGCCAUGCCGCGUGAAGGUCAGUGCCCUUUGGGCGUUAAACUACUUUUAUGCGGGAGCAAUAAUGGUCAGUUGUGGCCCGACGAGAGUACCGUACGCAUAAGCAUCGGCUAACUCCGGGCCCGCAGCCGCGGGAACACUGGGGAUGUGAGCGUUAGCCGGAUUUGUUGGGUUUAAAGGGUGCGUAGGCGGGGAGGUAGGUCAGCGGGGAAAUGCCCCGGGUCAACGGGGGGAAGUGCCAUUGAUACUGGCUAGCUAGAAUGCGGAUGCGGUGGGAGGAAUGUGUGGUGUAGCGGUGAAAUGCAUAGAGAUGACACAGAACACCGAUUGCGAAGGCAUCUCCCGAAUCAGCGAUUGACGCUGAGGUACGAAAGCGUGGGUAUCAAACAGGAUUAGAUACCCCUGUAGUC
rnacentral:rRNA from 1 species